rnacentral:rRNA from 1 species
CUACGGGCGGCAGCAGUUAGGAAUCUUCCACAAUGGGCGAAAGCCUGAUGGAGCAACGCCGCGUGCAGGAUGAAGGCCUUCGGGUUGUAAACUGCUUUUAUGUGCGAGGAAUAUGACGGUAACACAUGAAUAAGGAUCGGCUAACUCCGUGCCAGCAGCCGCGGUCAUACGGAGGAUCCGAGUGUUACCGGAGUGACUGGGCGUAAAGAGUUGCGUAGGUGGUUUAUUAAGCAAAUAGUGAAAUCUUGUGGCUCAACCAUGAGGCUAUUAUUUGAACUGAUAAACUUGAGAACAUGAGAGGUAGAUGGAAUUCCCAGUGUAGGAGUGAAAUCCGUAGAUAUUGGGAGGAACACCAAUGGCGUAGGCAGUCUACUGGCAUGUUUCUGACACUGAGGCACGAAAGCGUGGGGAGCGAACCGGAUUAGAUACCCCCGUAGUC